rnacentral:rRNA from 1 species
CACGACGUUGUAAAACGACGGCUGUAACUAUAACGGUCCUAAGGUAGCAAAUUUCCUUGUCGUCCUAAUAACGACCUGCAUGAAACAUAGAACGAUUCGAUAGCUGUCUUGCACACACAUCAUGGUAAAAUAUUCAUCAGUACAAAUAAUAUGCUGCUCUCAGUCGAGUGACACUAAAGGACAAAAAGACCCUCUGAAGCUUUAUAGGGAUAAAACUUGGAAUGCAUCGCGAUCUAAAUUAUCUUAUUGCAUCGCAGCUAAAGUGAAUAGAUUUCUGAUUUCUCCUAAGACCACUGUUUAAUUGGGGCGAUAACCUUAUCCACAGCCACCUAAGGUGAACAAAGCGAUACAAGGAUCCUAAAUACUAAUUUGACCAACUAAUAAGUGCAAAGAUACAUGUUUCGCUUAAUGGCCCAACAAGUCCUUCCCAGUACUUAAAUGCUAUCUUAAUGAGCUUUAAAUUAAUCUACCCGAGUGAAGCUACUCUACGGAUAACAGGCUUAAUUUCCGCAAUACUCAAGGUCACAUUAUCAAGAAAAAUGCACCUCGAUGUCGGCUUAUCCUCCCAAAAUAAGUAGCGCCAAUUAUUGGUGGGAGUGCUCAUCCCGUAAA